AGCGAACGCUGGCGGCAGGCCUAACACAUGCAAGUCGAACGGGCCCCUUCGGGGGUCAGUGGCAGACGGGUGAGUAACGCGUGGGAACGUGCCCUUCAGUUCGGAACAACCCAGGGAAACUUGGGCUAAUACCGGAUACGCCCUUCGGGGGAAAGAUUCAUCGCUGAAGGAUCGGCCCGCGUCUGAUUAGCUAGUUGGUGGGGUAACGGCCCACCAAGGCGACGAUCAGUAGCUGGUCUGAGAGGAUGAUCAGCCACACUGGGACUGAGACCCGGCCCGGAGCCCCUCGGGGGGCAAGCAUGGGGGAAAUUGGAAAAUGGGCGAAAGCCUGAUCCAGCCAUGCCGCGUGAGUGAUGAAGGCCCUAGGGUUGUGAAGCUCUUUCGGCGGGGACGAUAAUGACGGUACCCGCAGAAGAAGCCCCGGCUAACUUCGUGCCAGCCGCCGCAGUAAUAC
rnacentral:rRNA from 1 species